GAUGAACGCUGGCGGCGUGCCUAAGACAUGCAAGUCGAGUGGGUUUAGACCCACGGCGAACGGGUGAGUAAUACCUAGGAACUUUCUUUAAGUGGAGCAUAACCAGCCGAAAGGUUGGAUAAUACUUCAUGUGGCAGUAAUGCUAAAGUCGCAAGACGCUUAAAGUGAGGCCUGGGCACCAUCAGCUAGUUGGUAAGGUAAUGGCUUACCAAGGCUAUGACGGUUAGGGGUCCCGAGAGGGAUAACCCCCACACUGGAACUGCGACACGGUCCAGACUCCUACGGGAGGCAGCAGUUUGGAAUUUUGGACAAUGGGCGAAAGCCUGAUCCAGCGACGCCGCGUGGACGAUGAAGGCCUUCGGGUCGUAAAGUCCUUUGCUCGGGAACAAUAUUUUGAGCGUACCGAGAGAAUAAGAGGUUGCUAACUCUGUGCCAGC
rnacentral:rRNA from 1 species